rnacentral:rRNA from 1 species
UACAGAGGGGGCAAGCGUUGUCCGGAAUUACUGGGCGUACAGCGCGCGCAGGCGGACCGCCACGUGCCGUGUGACAAGCCACUGCUCAACAGUGGAGGGCCAGGGUACGACGAGCGGUCUGGAGGCAGGGAGAGGGAUGUGGAAUGCCCGGUGGAGCGGUGAAAUGCGUAGAGAUCGGGCGGAACACCAGCGGCGAAGGCGGCAUCCUGGUCCUGAUGACUGACGCUGGAGGCGACGAGAGCGUGGGGAGCGAACUG